CCAACAUAUUAUGAGGAUCUGAAUACCAUUCUUCAUAGAAGAAUGCAAAAAACCAUUAUGUAUACAAUUCAUGUCAAAGAUGUAAGUUCAACCUUCAUGGUUUUACCUUUUGUUGAAAUAUUUUUAACCAUAGUUUAUUGAAUUCUCAUGCUUAUAUUUAUGCAUCCUAACAUGUUACAGCCUUAUGGUGAAAUCGAUCCUUUGUGUUUGCACACAAAUACUCUGACGAGUUAGAUGAUCAAUGACAAAUUUAUGGCUGCAAUUACAUGCAUUUGGUUACUUGGAAUUGCGAUGUUAAUCAACCUCGACUAACAACUGGAUGGCAAGAGAUUUGUGAAACUUUUGAGUUGCAGUAUCAUCUUCUUGGUUUAAUCUAUUAUGGUGACAACAUGUUUCAUUUGGUUCUUAAUCUAACUAAGGAAUCAUCAACAAAUGAAUUUCCAUCAUUUCACUCUAUAUCUACAAAACCAAAGCAUCCUUUAACUUUUGAGAUUAUUAUUUCAAAUGACCCUAAUAGCACAAGACAAUUAGUUGAGUAUUAUUCUUAUUAGCUUAACUUGCACAUUAAUUUACAUUCAUUCUUCACUAAACUCAAAUUUUUUUGUUUCAG
rnacentral:lncRNA from 1 species